rnacentral:miRNA from 1 species
UAGACUUUUUAGAUGUUGGUCAA